rnacentral:lncRNA from 1 species
UUCAUCGCUGUAUACUUGGACAUGGGAUCUUACUGGGUAAUUAUCAUCAAUAGAGAAGCCAGCAUCAUAAAGGACCUUAAAAGUCUCCAGGUAUAAAAUUUCAAAAGAACCUUCCUCCUCAACUAUGCACUUUACUUCUUCUGCUGAAGGUAUAUAGACUGGAAGAUUGAAACUAUCCAAUUUUUCUUCCUCCAGAUGUCCCUGCAGAUAUGCCAAUCAUCAAUUCAAUUCAAAUUAUUCGAAGCACGAGACUUGGAAAUUAACCAAUUUGCUCAAACCUCAACUCUAGGAAAAAAAAGGGUACAGUUUUUUUCCUUAAUUUCAAUAUGAAAAUAUUAUUACUACUUGUGCUUUUAGUUCAUAUUAUUAUUUUUUCCAAUACCUUUUUAACCAAAAAGGGGGGAAAAAAGAUAGCCGACAAAUUAAAUCCCCCUAUAUUUCUAACUUGAAAGAAUUAUCUUAACUGUAUUGGAGUUGUGUGACCUAACUUCGAAUUAAAGGUUACUACCAUCUGAUUUACACGGUGAACUUGGUCUACACAAAGUUUAUUGUAUCAAGGUUACAAAAAAUAAAAUUGCAUCCAUUUUGCAGCUAAGGUAGGAACCCUAAUAAGCUAGCUAGCUAUCUAGUUUAUUUCAGAUAACAAGCAAUGAGCAUCUGAUCAUCAAAGAGACAGAGAAAUGAUAACCUCAACAACCAAGUCGUUUAUUGCCAUCUCAAGUAAGUCUAUGGCAUUCAGGGCGUCGAAUUCAACUCCUUUACAAAUGCAAGUAAGGAGCAUUCGGCCAUGUGAAAACAACUCUUCCGAAUGAAUCCUUAGAAAUGUGGUAAAAUCUUUCGUAAAUUGAUCCAAAUAUGCCUUCUGGACGGGCAGACGACUUGCUUUGGAAGAGUAAAUGCUCCCUUUGUUCGUACUGAUCCCCAAUUCAGUCACCAAACCGCUAGGAACCUGCACGUCCAGAGCUGGUAACUUAUAUAGUUGGAUCAUUUUGUUAGUGUUGCAUGUGGGAAUAUAAAUCAUGAGCCACGACUUGAAUAAAAUAUGUUAUUAGUUUCUUCAGAAAUCUCUUUCUUGGAUUCCUGUGGAUAUCUUGAGAAUUAUUAAAGAAAUUUCCAUGCAUAGUUACUAAUGUGUUGAAUGAAAAUCAUGAACUAUUUUUGCUACAAGAAAAAGUAAAAAGAUAAAAGGGAUUAACUCAAAGACCUG